rnacentral:rRNA from 1 species
GACGAACGCUGGCGGCGUGCUUAACACAUACAAGUCGAACGAUGAACUUGGAGCUUGCUCUGGGGGAUUAGUGGCGAACGGGUGAGUAACACGUGAGUAACCUGCCCUGGACUCUGGGAUAACUUCGAGAAAUCGGAGCUAAUACCGGAUAGGACCUUGCACCGCAUGGUGUGGGGUGGAAAGUUUUUCGGUUUGGGAUGGACUCGCGGCCUAUCAGCUUGUUGGUGAGGUAAUGGCUCACCAAGGCGUCGACGGGUAGCCGGCCUGAGAGGGUGACCGGCCACACUGGGACUGAGACACGGCCCAGACUCCUACGGGAGGCAGCAGUGGGGAAUAUUGCACAAUGGGCGCAAGCCUGAUGCAGCAACGCCGCGUGCGGGAUGACGGCCUUCGGGUUGUAAACCGCUUUUAGUAGGGAAGAAGCCUUCGGGUGACGGUACCUGCAGAAAAAGCACCGGCUAACUACGUGCCAGCCGCCGCAGUAAGAC